AAGGGGAACUAUGCAGUUAUUUUUCAGCUCAAUUUACCUUAUCUGAACAGCUUCAGAGUCAUUGUAAUGGUUAUCUAAACUAUUUUUGAGUUGAAUGGUGGCUGUCUUGCGAUCUAUUCAGAAG